GACGAACGCUGUCGGCGUGCUUAACACAUGCAAGUCGAACGGAAAGGCCCUGCUUUUGUGGGGUGCUCGAGUGGCGAACGGGUGAGUAACACGUGAGUAACCUGCCCUUGACUUUGGGAUAACUUCAGGAAACUGGGGCUAAUACCGGAUAGGAGCUCCUGCUGCAUGGUGGGGGUUGGAAAGUUUCGGCGGUUGGGGAUGGACUCGCGGCUUAUCAGCUUGUUGGUGGGGUAGUGGCUUACCAAGGCUUUGACGGGUAGCCGGCCUGAGAGGGUGACCGGCCACAUUGGGACUGAGAUACGGCCCAGACUCCUACGGGAGGCAGCAGUGGGGAAUAUUGCACAAUGGGCGGAAGCCUGAUGCAGCAACGCCGCGUGCGGGAUGACGGCCUUCGGGUUGUAAACCGCUUUCGCCUGUGACGAAGCGUGAGUGACGGUAAUGGGUAAAGAAGCACCGGCUAACUACGUGCCAGCAGCCGCGGUGAUACGUAGGGUGCGAGCGUUGUCCGGAUUUAUUGGGCGUAAAGGGCUCGUAGGUGGUUGAUCGCGUCGGAAGUGUAAUCUUGGGGCUUAACCCUGAGCGUGCUUUCGAUACGGGUUGACUUGAGGAAGGUAGGGGAGAAUGGAAUUCCUGGUGGAGCGGUGGAAUGCGCAGAUAUCAGGAGGAACACCAGUGGCGAAGGCGGUUCUCUGGGCCUUUCCUGACGCUGAGGAGCGAAAGCGUGGGGAGCGAACAGGCUUAGAUGCCCUGGUAGUCCACGCUGUAAACGGUGGGUACUAGGUGUGGGGUCCAUUCCACGGGUUCCGUGCCGUAGCUAACGCUUUAAGUACCCCGCCUGGGGAGUACGGCCGCAAGGCUAAAACUCAAAGGAAUUGACGGGGCCCCGCACAAGCGGCGGAGCAUGCGGAUUAAUUCGAUGCAACGCGUAGAACCUUACCUGGGUUUGACAUGGAUCGGGAGUGCUCAGAGAUGGGUGUGCCUCUUUUGGGGUCGGUUCACAGGUGGUGCAUGGCUGUCGUCAGCUCGUGUCGUGAGAUGUUGGGUUAAGUCCCGCAACGAGCGCAACCCCUGUUCACUGUUGCCAGCACGUUAUGGUGGGGACUCAGUGGAGACCGCCGGGGUCAACUCGGAGGAAGGUGGGGAUGACGUCAAGUCAUCAUGCCCCUUAUGUCCAGGGCUUCACGCAUGCUACAAUGGCUGGUACAGAGAGUGGCGAGCCUGUGAGGGUGAGCGAAUCUCGGAAAGCCGGUCUCAGUUCGGAUUGGGGUCUGCAACUCGACCUCAUGAAGUCGGAGUCGCUAGUAAUCGCAGAUCAGCAACGCUGCGGUGAAUACGUUCCCGGGGCU
rnacentral:rRNA from 1 species